CACGUAGGGCGCAAGCGUUGUCCGGAAUUAUUGGGCGUAAAGAGCUCGUAGGCGGUCUGUUGCGUCCGCUGUGAAAACCCGGGGCUUAACCCCUGGCUUGCAGUGGAUACGGACAGACUAGAGGUAGGUAGGGGAGAAUGGAAUUCCCGGUGUAGCGGUGAAAUGCGCAGAUAUCAGGAGGAACACCGGUGGCGAAGGCGGUUCUCUGGGCCUUACCUGACGCUGAGGAGCGAAAGCGUGGGGAGCAAACAGG
rnacentral:rRNA from 1 species